rnacentral:lncRNA from 1 species
CAAAUGAACCAUGGUUGGAUAACUUUCUUGGUUAAACGAUUGGAAAUUUGGAAAAUGAAAGUCCAAGGCAGAUUGCCUUAGGAUUUUUCUUGAACUUCGGUUGGCUCAUUAACUACCUUGCCGAAGGUAUUUUUCCCCGAAAAUCGAUAGAGAGAUACUUUCCAUAUAGUAUUGAAAUACUGCCAAUUUUGGUGCCGAUUCAAGUUCGUUUCGAUACCAAUUGAAUUACUAAAGUUAGAGGUUCAAAUCUGGAAAAUUCUCAUCCAGUCUUGAAUUUGCUCAACUUCGGGCUACCGUAUCUCGGUACUCGAAACUCCGAUUCUUGAUCCGCUUGUUUUGUCAUACACUUCACUUGCAACACUAAUUGAGCUGAAAAUUUCAGAGGCCGGUUUGCAACGUGCGAAUCGUGCCGAAUUUUCAAAGUUGGCCGAAAUCCAACU